UACGGGGGGGGCAAGCGUUGUUCGGAAUUACUGGGCGUAAAGGGCGCGUAGGCGGCCUCUUAAGUCGAACGUGAAAUCCCCGGGCUCAACCCGGGAACUGCGUCCGAUACUGGGGGGCUUGAAUCCGGGAGAGGGAGUGUGAAUUCCAGGUGUAGCGGUGAAAUGCGUAGAUAUCAAGAGGAACACCUGCGGCGAAGGCGGGGUUGCUGGGCCGACACUGACGCUGAAGCGCGAAAGCCAGGGGAG
rnacentral:rRNA from 1 species